rnacentral:rRNA from 1 species
GACGGACGCUGGCGGCGUGCUUAACACAUGCAAGUCGAACGGAAAGGCCCUGCUUUUGUGGGGUGCUCGAGUGGCGAACGGGUGAGUAACACGUGAGUAACCUGCCCUUGACUUUGGGAUAACUUCAGGAAACUGGGGCUAAUACCGGAUAGGGGCUCCUGCUGCAUGGUGGGGGUUGGAAAGUUUCGGCGGUUGGGGAUGGACUCGCGGCUUAUCAGCUUGUUGGUGGGGUAGUGGCUUACCAAGGCUUUGACGGGUAGCCGGCCUGAGAGGGUGACCGGCCACAUUGGGACUGAGAUACGGCCCAGACUCCUACGGGAGGCAGCAGUGGGGAAUAUUGCACAAUGGGCGGAAGCCUGAUGCAGCAACGCCGCGUGCGGGAUGACGGCCUUCGGGUUGUAAACCGCUUUCGCCUGUGACGAAGCGUGAGUGACGGUAAUGGGUAAAGAAGCACCGGCUAACUACGUG